rnacentral:rRNA from 1 species
UACGUAGGGGGCAAGCGUUGUCCGGAAUCAUUGGGCGUAAAGCGCGUGUAGGCGGCUUGGUAAGUCUGCUCUGAAAGCCCGGGGCUCAACCCCGGGAGGCGGGUGGAUACUGUCAAGCUCGAGUCCGGAAGAGGCGAGUGGAAUUCCCGGUGUAGCGGUGAAAUGCGCAGAUAUCGGGAGGAACACCAAUUGCGAAGGCAGCUCGCUGGGACGUUACUGACGCUGAGACGCGAAAGCGUGGGGAGCAACAGG